UGAGCAUGUAUUUAAUGAACC
rnacentral:piRNA from 1 species